UACGUAGGUGGCGAGCGUUGUCCGGAAUUACUGGGCGUAAAGGGCGUGUAGGCGGCCUUUUAAGUCAGACGUGAAAACCCUGGGCUUAACCCAGGACCUGCGUUUGAUACUGAAGGGCUUGAGGACCGGAGAGGACAGUGGAAUUCCCAGUGUAGCGGUGAAAUGCGUAGAUAUUGGGAGGAACACCAGUGGCGAAGGCGACUGUCUGGACGGCACCUGACGCUGAGGCGCGAAAGCCAGGGGAGCAAAC
rnacentral:rRNA from 1 species